UACGAAGGGGGGCUAGCGUUGUUCGGAAUCACUGGGCGUAAAGGGCGCGUAGGCGGCUUUAUAAGUCGGGGGUGAAAGCCUGUGGCUCAACCACAGAAUUGCCUUCGAUACUGUAGAGCUUGAGACCGGAAGAGGUAAGUGGAACUGCGAGUGUAGAGGUGAAAUUCGUAGAUAUUCGCAAGAACACCAGUGGCGAAGGCGGCUUACUGGUCCGGUUUCUGACGCUGAGGCGCGAAAAGCGUGGGGGAGCAAACAGG
rnacentral:rRNA from 1 species